GCUGUCGAGAUGCCUAAAAAGCAUUUCAUAGCAAGGGCCGGGCAAGACCGGUGCCAGCCGCCGCGGUAACACCGGCGGCUCGAGUGGUAACCGUUAUUAUUGGGUCUAAAGGGUCUGUAGCCGGCCGGAUAAGUCUCUUGAGAAAUCUGGCAGCUUAACUGUCAGGCUUUCAGGAGAUACUGUCUGGCUCGAGGCCGGGAGAGGUGAGAGGUACUUCAGGGGUAGGGGUGAAAUCUUGUAAUCCUUGAAGGACCACCAGUGGCGAAGGCGUCUCACCAGAACGGACCUGACGGCAAGGGACGAAAGCUAGGGGCACGAACCGGAUUAGAUACCCGGGUAGUCCUAGCCGUAAACGAUACUCGCUAGGUGUCGGCCACGGUGCGACCGUUGUCGGUGCCGUAGGGAAGCCGUGAAGCGAG
rnacentral:rRNA from 1 species